rnacentral:rRNA from 1 species
UAGUAACGCGUAAAGAACUUGCCCUUUAGACUGGGAUAACAGAGGGAAACUUCUGAUAAUACUGGAUAAGUUAGUAUAUCGCAUGAUAUGCAAAUGAAAGCUACGGCACUAAAGGAGAGCUUUGCGUCCUAUUAGCUAGUUGGUAAGGUAAGAGCUUACCAAGGCGAUGAUAGGUAGCCGGCCUGAGAGGGUGGACGGCCACAAGGGGACUGAGAUACGGCCCUUACUCCUACGGGAGGCAGCAGCU